UAGAAAUGCCUGGCAGGAAUGUGAUGAAGUGAUUGGUCAGGAGAUGAAAGCCACAAACCAGACAGGUGGUUGCACCGCCUGGCUGUCCUCUACCUCCAAGGAAAGCUCUUUGUGACCAGUGCUGGGGAAAGCAGGUGGGUUCAGAUCCAGGCUUGAGUGCAUUUGCAGGCAGAUCAAAACUGGGGAACUUGGUGGAUGGUACAAUACAAUAAGUUGAGCAGAUGGAUCUGAUGCACUGGGCUGCCCAAUAUACUGUUUCCUUGCUAGCAUGUGAUUUUCCUACAGCAGUGGUGCUCAACCUUUGUUGUGUGACAAAUUGUACAAUCAGAAAUGGACUGAGGGCUGCAUAGAAAAGCAUUGCUGGAGCUUAGUGAGGGAAAAGAAGGUAAAAGUGGUGGCAGCAUUUGCCCCCUUGGGCUCUGGAGCUGCAUGAAUGCAGUGGCUCCAGCCAGUGACCACACUGACAUGCUGGUGGGCUCAGAGAACUUGCUGCACAAGGAGAGCUCUAGCAGGGGCCCCACCAACAUGCCAGUGAACUCAUGAUGGUGACAGGUUAUUUAUAUGGUUCUGUGUGUGCGUGUGUGUGAGGUUUUCUGUGUGCAUGUAUGGUUUUCUAUGUGUGU